rnacentral:rRNA from 1 species
CAGUCGCCGCGGGAAUACGUAGGGUGCGAGCGUUAAUCGGAAUUACUGGGCGUAAAGCGUGCGCAGGCGGUUCGUUAAGACAGAUGUGAAAUCCCCGGGCUUAACCUGGGAACUGCAUUUGUGACUGGCGAGCUAGAGUAUGGCAGAGGGGGGUAGAAUUCCACGUGUAGCAGUGAAAUGCGUAGAGAUGUGGAGGAAUACCGAUGGCGAAGGCAGCCCCCUGGGCCAAUACUGACGCUCAUGCACGAAAGCGUGGGGAGCCAACAGGAUUAGAUACCCCAGUAGUCCCUGUCUCUUAUAC